AAUCAACGCUGGCGGCGUGCCUCAGACAUGCAAGUCGAACGCGAAAGGCUCCUUCGGGGGCCGAGUAGAGUGGCGCACGGGUGAGUAACACGUAGGUAAUUUGCCUUUGGGUGGGGAAUAACUCAGGGAAACUUGAGCUAAUACCGCAUAAUGCAGCGGCUCGACAUCGAGACAGUUGUUAAAGCGGGGGAUCGCAAGACCUCGCGCCUGAAGAGAAGCCUGCGGCAGAUUAGCUAGUUGGUAGGGUAAUGGCCUACCAAGGCGACGAUCUGUAACCGGCCUGAGAGGGCGGUCGGUCACACUGACACUGACAUACGGGUCAGACUCCUACGGAGGCAGCAGUCGGGAAUUUUGGGCAAUGGGCGCAAGCCUGACCCAGCAACGCCGCGUGAAGGAUGAAAUCCCUCGGAUGUAAACUUCGCAAGAAUGGGAAGAAUAAGUAGGGGACAAUACCCCUAUGAUGACGGUACCAUUUGUAAGCUCCGGCUAACGUCGUGCC
rnacentral:rRNA from 1 species